UACGUAGGGGGCAAGCGUUGUCCGGAAUCAUUGGGCGUAAAGAGCGCGUAGGCGGCCCUGUAAGUCCGCUGUGAAAGUCAAGGGCUCAACCCUUGAAAGCCGGUUGAUACUGUCGGGCUAGAGUCCGGAAGAGGCGAGUGGAAUUCCCGGUGUAGCGGUGAAAUGCGCAGAUAUCGGGAGGAACACCAAUGGCGAAGGCAGCUCGCUGGGACGGUACUGGCGCUGAGACGCGAAAGCGUGGGGAGCAAACAGG
rnacentral:rRNA from 1 species